GGGGAAAGGUUCCAUGUGAACAGCAGUUGGACAUGGGUUAGUCGAUCCUAAGGCAUAGGGAAGUUCCGUUUUAAAGGUGCCCUCGUGCACCGUAUGCCGAAAGGGAAGCCGGUUAACAUUCCGGCACCUAGAUGUGGAUUCUCCACGGCAACGUAACUGAACGCGGAGACGUCGGCGGGGGUCCUGGGAAGAGUUCUCUUUUCUUCUUGACAGCCUAUCACCCUGAAAUCGGUUUGUCCGGAGCUAGGGUUCUAUGGCUGGCAGAGCCUCGCACCUUUGCGAGGUCCGGUGCGCCCCCGACGACCCUUGAAAAUCCGCGGGAAGGAAUAGUUUUCACGCUAGGUCGUACUCAUAACCGCAGCAGGUCUCCAAGGUGAACAGCCUCUAGUUGAUAGAACAAUGUAGAUAAGGGAA
rnacentral:rRNA from 1 species